CCUACGUGGGGCAGCAGUGAGGAAUAUUGGUCAAUGGGCGCGAGCCUGAACCAGCCAAGUAGCGUGAAGGAUGACUGCCCUACGGGUUGUAAACUUCUUUUAUAAAGGAAUAAAGUGAGGCACGUGUGCCUUUUUGUAUGUACUUUAUGAAUAAGGAUCGGCUAACUCCGUGCCAGCAGCCGCGGUAAUACGGAGGAUCCGAGCGUUAUCCGGUUUUAUUGGGUUUAAAGGGAGCGUAGAUGGGUUGUUAAGUCAGUUGUGAAAGUUUGCGGCUCAACCGUAAAAUUGCAAUUGAUACUGGCAGUCUUGAGUACAGUUGAGGUAGGCGGAAUUCGUGGGGUAGCGGUGAAAUGCUUAGAUAUCACGAAGAAGUCCGAUUGCGAAGGCAGCUUACUAAACUGCCACUGACAUUGAUGCUCGAAAGUGUGGGUAUCAAACAGGAUUAGAUACCCGAGUAGUC
rnacentral:rRNA from 1 species